ACCUCUGGAAGGAAGAAAAGGGAACAAAAUGAAGUAAAAUGGAGCAGAGAAGAGAUGAAAGCAAACUUCUCUUCUGUGGCAAAUCUACCACUGUCCUUUCCAAUUGGCAGGGUCUUCCACCUUUAAGCAUGGAGUUAUGAGUCCCAGGCUGCCUGUCAAGUUGUCCCUAUGUGAGGGUAAGCUCCGCUGCCUUUGAUCUAGCUUUGCACAGCUUUCCAAACAGCAGCUCUUGGUGGCGAUGGUCCCGAUACCUACGUGGUUUGCAGUACAGGCAGUGGCUAUAAAUGGUGGCAGAGGAGAAGAGGCUUCACAGAAUAGAGUGGGUGUGUAAGGAGAAACAUCUGCAAUCCAAAAACCAGCCAAGCCUGGUGCUGGUCUGCUGCCUCUGAUGGCUUGGAACCUGUGCCUGUCUCUGUAAGAAUCAGAAAAAUAAAAUAAAAACAUUGUGAGAGUGCUUCACA